rnacentral:lncRNA from 1 species
AUGACCUGGGGUCGUAAAUGUGACGUUACCCUGCCUUUCAAUAAGGAGAACUGUGGUCAACUUUGCAUUACGGGCAGCCUUCCCUGUGGAGGCAGACAACGAACAAAGCGAAGAACCCGGAGCGUCAGAGCUCCAGGAAGGCAACAGCUGACCUUGUAUUUCCAGAGCUGGGACAGUCGCCUGACACUAGUGGAUCCCAGGAAAUUGAAAGCAUCUGGAAGGAAAUAGAUUCCUGUAACUGGAGUCAGUGGAGUCAAGGGUAUGAACUUGUAAAGAACUCUGUUAAGCCAAGCAGCUCUCGAGGAGGUUGCUUCAAUCAGAAUGUUUGAGCGCCCACUGCCCUGCAUCCUAGUAAGUAUCAUGUAUGAACAAUUAGAGGUUAUUUAUGGAAGACACUGAAGUCAGCACAGAGCAUCAGGAUUGUAUAGUUCUCGGUACUGUCUUAUUUGGGUUGAUCUGCCUUCGUUAUGGGAGAAGACAAUAGCAAAGCUGUUCAGUUUAAGUAGAAAUGGCUACACUAGCACAGGGUGACACUAUUAAAUUUAAAUUCAGACCAAAAAAAUCUAUCUUACGUUUAUGAAAGUCUAAGCUUUUAGGAAAUUCAGGUACAGUACAGAAGAAAAUAGAGCAUCAAUUUAAAUCAUAUUUAAAAGAAAAUAUCUUGCAACAAGCACUUGAACCAAAGUUUUUUAAAAAGUAUGUGCACUCUCCAGUAGGAAGCAUGUAUGUUUGGGAAACAAAUUGUGCAAAUUAAUUCCAUGUGCAAUCAGAGAAUAAUCAUUUCAUGUUAUUAUGCUUUAACGUAAGGGAGAAAGAGAAAUUCUUGCUUUCCUUUGGUGGUUGGAUUAUGUUGUAUUACUUGUGCCAAGUUCUUUUAUACAUUCUCUCUAAUACUCACAAACCUCAGCAAGGAAGAUUUUUUGGUUCUGAUUUUACAGAUUAGGAAUCAGGCUGAGAGAAGUGAGAAACUCAUAGGCGGGUAUUGGAGCCAAGGUUUGUCUGAGUUCAGAACUGAAUCAUUCCACAGGCCCGAGGACUCCCCGAAAGAUACAAUAAGGUUCUGUGUGAGAGAAAAUGAGGGAGACCCUGACCCUGGCCGGUGACAAAAAGGGCCGAUGAUACAAAACUAUAACCUCCCUCUCUGGUGGCCUGAAGUGGAAAU